UGAGGAACAUGACUUUCGGCGGGGGAUAGCCGGCCCAACGGCCGGGUAAUACCGCGUACGACCACAUGGGGACAUCCCUGAGUGGUGAAAGCAGCAAUGCGCCGAUGGAGUGCCUCGCGGCCUAUCAGCUAGUUGGUGAGGUAACGGCUCACCAAGGCAACGACGGGUAGCUGGUCUGAGAGGAUGGCCAGCCACAUUGGGACUGAGACACGGCCCAGACUCUACGGGAGG
rnacentral:rRNA from 1 species